GUUCCGGUAACGUAAUUAAUAGGGCGUUGGACUUCUAAUCCAAAGGUUGUGAGUUCGAACCUCACCUGGGAUG